rnacentral:rRNA from 1 species
GAUGAACGCUGGCGGCGUGCCUAAUACAUGCAAGUCGAGCGAACAGACGAGGAGCUUGCUCCUCUGACGUUAGCGGCGGACGGGUGAGUAACACGUGGAUAACCUACCUAUAAGACUGGGAUAACUUCGGGAAACCGGAGCUAAUACCGGAUAAUAUAUUGAACCGCAUGGUUCAAUAGUGAAAGACGGUUUUGCUGUCACUUAUAGAUGGAUCCGCGCCGCAUUAGCUAGUUGGUAAGGUAACGGCUUACCAAGGCAACGAUGCGUAGCCGACCUGAGAGGGUGAUCGGCCACACUGGAACUGAGACACCGUCCAGAGUCCUACGGGAGGCAGCAGUAGGGAAUCUUCCGCAAUGGGCGAAAGCCUGACGGAGCAACGCCGCGUGAGUGAUGAAGGUCUUCGGAUCGUAAAACUCUGUUAUUAGGGAAGAACAAAUGUGUAAGUAACUAUGCACGUCUUGACGGUAACUAAUCAGAAAGCCACGGCUAACUACGUG